rnacentral:lncRNA from 1 species
GCUGCCCUCUUGCUUGGUUCAUGCUGUGGUAGAACAGCUUAAGGGCUUUGGCAAAUUCUCUGUCGGAGCUGGCUGGCCGAGUAUACAUUUGGUUCAUCUCUCUGGCUGCUGGAGGGUGUGCUGCCGUCCAAGUUAGCUUCAGGGUGUUGGAAGGCUUAUGUGCUGAGGUGGUGAGAGACAGAACAUUUAUUUCAACAUCUGCUCUCCCAAGUCCCUAUGUACAUAUUUAUUUUGGUGGCAAUCUACACCAGCAUUUAUCAAGCACAGGUUGAGACACAUCCAGGCAGAAGGGGAAACAAGAUAUAGAUCAACUUGUUUUAUGAAACAAGAUACAGAUCAACUCAUUAAAAAGUAAAUUUCUUUGAAAUACAGAUACACAUCUCAGAGCUCAGUUGGUUAAGCAUCCAACCUUAGCUCAGGUUACGAUCUCACAGUUCGUGAGUUCAAGCCCCGCUUUGGGCUCUGUGCUGACAGCUUGGAGCCUAGAGCCUGCUGAAGAUUCUGUGUCUCCCUCUCUCUCUGACCCUCCCCUGAUCUCUUUCUCUCUCUCUCAAAAAUAAACAUAAAAAAUUAAAAAAAUAUAUAUAUAUAUAAAUAUCCAUCUCAAACGUAGGAGUUUAGAGAGAAACUUAAGCAAGACUUACGUAGCCUCUCACCUUGUUGAGUAGAACCGACCUUCUCAAGUGAUUGUUUGAGAAACACGUUUUCUUCUCUCAGGGCUCUGUUGGUGUCUCUGAGCAGCUCUGUCUCCUGCUCUAACUUGAGCAGCUUCAUGUAGAGUUCCGAUAUCUGAUUUGAUGGCGUCUACAAAAAACAUGUCAGGUUAGCCUUUCGCGGGGUUAUCUGCAUACCCUUUGGGACUGGCAGUUUUACCCCCCUAGAUGGGGUGGGGGUGAGGGUGUGGUGAGCAGGGUUGAAGCCCCUGGGGGAACACAGCAGUAAAUAAGGAAAACAUUUGUUAAGUGGAAGGAACACCGAUGAUCCCUAAGCAGCUGUCACGUGCGAUGCCCGUUUGAAUGUCACAUAAAUGGGCACACCUGGCCUGGAUCCAUCAGAGUGGACAUUUUCUUGGUGUCCACCAUGACGUGGCCUUCACUUGUGACCAUGAGGUCCGACUGAGAGCAGUCCAGCUGGGCGCAGCCUUCUGUAAUGUGAGGGAGACACCAUCAAGGAAAGAAACACCUCCAGGCCCAGUGUUGUGUGAAGAGAAUUUUUUUUUUUAAAUGUAUGUUUCUUUGUUUAUUUAUUCAUUUAGAGACAGAAUACCAGCAAGGGAGGGGCAGAGAGAGAGAGAGAGAGGGAGAGAGAGAAUCCCCAGCAGGCUCCGCACUGUCAGCGCAGAUCCCCACGCAGGGCUCGAACUCACGAACCGUGAGAUCGUGACCUGAGCCGAAAUCAAGAGUCAGGCACUUACCAACUGAGCCACCCAGGCGCCCCUACGUGAAGAGGUUUAAGCCAUUUAAUCCCCUGUGGACUAGAGCCCAGGGACCCAGGAGAAGACCGCCCUGGGCUAUUAAGACCCUGACCCCCUCCCUCCUCCACAUCCUUGGCAACCCUAGAUAUAUUGACGUGAUAUCUGAUUGAAGAAUGCAUCGUGCAAAAGAGGAAGCAAACGUGGUACCUUGAAGACCCCAUAAAUCGACAAUGAGAGCGUUUGUUUGUAAAUAAUUCAGAAACUCCUGAGAUGCAUUUAAGGCUGUAAAUUGGACAGUUUCUUCUAUUUGGGGAUUCACCAUUUUCCAUACAGGCUUGGUAUAGAAAGUGCUUGAAAGGUCAUACAUUCUGUACCUGAGAAAAGAACAUAAAACAGAAUUCCAAGCCAGAAGGGACACAUUUACAAAGAAAUGGAUCAGAUGAGCCAAAGAAUGAUGGCUUGGCUUGGUUACUUGAUACGAGACGACCUGAAAUUGAUCCUCGUGCUUGCCACCCCCCAACAUUUCCGCUAUUUAACACGAGUAGCAUCACUACAUGGACAGUAUUAAAUGUCUAGCAAAAAGGAAAUGGAUUUUGAGAAAUAUGUUCUACUUUGAUCAUCUAAAUUUGUUAAUUUUAUUUAUUUAUUUUUUAAUGUUUAUUUUUGAGACAGAGAGAGACAGAGUGUGAGCAGAGGAGGGGCAGAGAAAGGGGGAGACCCAGAAUCCGAAGCAGGCUCCAGGCUCUGAGCUGUCAGCACAGAGCCCGAUGCGGGGCUCGAACCCACGAACUGUGAGAUCAUGACCUGAGCCCAAGUCGGACACUUAACCGACUGAGUCACCCAGGCGCCCCUAAAAUUGUUAAUAUUCCACGUGAGGUAGUGUUUUGGGUUUUGUCCUUCAAAGUUUCCCUUUCUUUAUUGCUUGAUCUCUUACCGUCUCUUAGCCUGACUAAGCCUAUCUGGUGUUUCUUCCAUAUUGUGAUAACAGUCCUUUCAUUUCCAACUCAAAAAGACAAAAAACAAAAAACACAACAAAAAACCCAUGAUUCUACGUAGAGAGUACAGCUUCCCUUGAUAUUCUAUCGGAUAAUUAGAAUCUCUGACCACUGCUUCAAUCACCAAGGAUCAAUAAACGUGGCUUUCAGUCCAGCAACCUAGAAGGAUGUGGGACUUCUAUUAACCGAUGGGGAAAUAGGCAUUUUGGGGUUGAACAAGCAGAGAAACGUAUGAAAAUUUCGUGAUGAACUCGUUUUUCAAGUGCCAAGAGAGACUCCCGCCCACCAAGGCCCACGAGGUGGGGGGUGUGUGCACAGCCGGUACCCCAUCUGAAUGCCUCGCUCUGCGUCCUCCUUCAGCCACUUGACCCCAAGGCACCGCACGAGGCCAACCUGGAAGUCCAUCCUCUUGCCCAGCAGCUCCGACGGGUCGAUAACCACGUCCUCCUCACCGCACGCUCUGCGAACAGAGGAGGACAGGGCAGAUCACAGAUCGGCCGGGGCCCGAGCAGGUGAGGGUCGUGUCGUCAAAGGGCACUCCUGAGACUCCUCGAGAUAUGGCCAGCUUCUCUGAAGAAAAGACGAGGAGCGUUGCCAGCCGCGGAGCGUGUUCACGCAACAGGCAUUCAAGGAGCUCCCAGCCUCCUGGAGGAAGAGACCGCAACGUAACCGCCUCGUGUAGGAUGCGACCCAGCCCCGGAGCCCCGGGCAGGUUCCCAGUGGGGUAGAGGCUGCGGCCUCUCAAGGCGACCCUUUCCUUGGUGAGCUCUGCACAGUCCAGAGUCAACUCCAGGCCUACAGGUUCGCGAACCAGUUUGGACAGCUUUCCAACAGGGGGCGUCUGUCACGUCAACCUCGCGUCGAGCCCAUAAGCUAGAAUGUGCCUUAGGAGUUUGCGACGAGAGAGAAACCGUCCGGCAGCCGAGAAGCCCGAGGUGGCCAAGUGACCAGAAAGUCGCUGAGACUCCCAGUAAAGACAGUGAGUCGAUGGUCAGCUUGGUCUCUGGGUGCCAGGACCCCGCGGCCCUGAGCUGGUUCCCUCUUCAGAAAGACAGGGAGGCCGUCCCGGGUGCCUGAGAGCGCCUCGCACCCAGACCAGACCGCCGCCUGCCCGCCUCUUUGCUUAGAAUUGCUGAGAGACCUGGGCUUUUGUGAAAACGCUGUGGACUGCCCAUGGCCUAGAGAGAGGGAAGAGAGGGGGUCCCUGAGAGGACGGUGAAGGGCAGUGCAGCAGAGUUAUAGCAACGCCCGUCCCCACAGAAGGUCGGCGAACAACUCAGAAGGAGGCCACGUCAGGGGACGAAGACACCUCAGUCCCUGCCUUGAGGGAAGGGACAGAAAUCCCAUGGGAGCCUAUACCACGGAUGGAGAAGGGACGAGCUGGAAACUCUGCUUUCUUCCAGCCCUCGGGCCGCAUCAGCGAGGACCUGAGACAUUCCCGGCCCGCCGAUUUGGCCGCCGUGGCAAAAAUCAGAUUUGCUGGGGCCAAAUCGUGACUGAAUGAGCUCUUCGGGGACACCGUGCUGACCAGCUCAUCCAGGAGAGCGCGGGCAUGCUGGGAGUUUUCUGCCAGGACCGGGCCGGGCUGGGGGGGCGGGUAGAGAGGGGACACCCACCGUCCCGCCGGGGAGCAGGGAGUCACGCAGACGUGCACCACGGCCUCUUCCUCCCCCUCGCAGUUCAUGAACUCCACCUGCUCCUCCAGCUUCAUGGAGUAGGCCAGCGACUGGAGCCAGAUGUGGGCUGAGCCCAAGUGGACAACCUCGACAGGGUCCCAGAAGGGGUCAUCUUCCUGAGCCACGUGGCUGUCUUCUCCAUCCAGAAAGCGCUGGUAAAGUUCCUCCAUGAGAAAUUUCCUGUUGAUAAACUUGGCUUUUGACCAGAUCCACACCUACGAACACAAAGAUAGGUCACCGGGAUUGGAUUUCACCUGCUCACAGUUCGUUCCCAUGACUUUUCCCAGCAUGCUUCCCCGGAUGGGCCGGCUUUGGGGCACCCAGGACCCCCUAACACUCUCGUCGAGCCUAGCUUUGCGGUGAGGUCCUCCAGGAGUCCACGUUCGUUCCUGACCCAUGGCUCCAGCAUUUCCUGAGUUGCUGGGGCCUAAUAACUUAGAGGAGAUAACGAAGGGAUCAAACAAUACACUGUCCCAGGAGAGAUGACGGUUUGGGACUCAGGGAACACAGAAGAGUGGCCCUCGAAGAUGUCUGUGUCCCAGUCUCUGGAACCUGCCAACAUGUUACCUUAUGUGGAAAAGGGAAUUAUGGUUGUAGGUGGAAUGAAGUUCGCUUAUCAGCUGACCUUAAAAUGGGGAGAUUUGCUCACACUGUCUAGGUGGGUCCAGUGUAACCACAUGGACCUUUUUUUUUUUAAAUAUUUUUUUACAUUUAGUUUUGAGAGGUAGAGAGAGUCAGAGCACAAGUGGGGGAGGGGCAGAGAGAGAAGGAGACACAGAAUCCGAGGUGGGCUCCAGGCUCUGAGCUGUCAGCACAGAGCCCGACGCGGGGCUCGGACUCACAAACCAUGAGAUCAUGACCUGAGCCGAAGUCGGAGGCUCAACCGACUGAGCCACCCAGGCGCCCUCACAUGGACCUUAACUGUGGAAGGGGGAGGCAGAAGAGAUGGUCAGACGGGGUCAGAAGGGGAGUCAGGGAGACGCCAAGUGGCUAACUUUGGAAAUGGAGCACAAUGGAGCCCAGGAAAGCGGGGGCCUCUGGAAGCUUCAAGAAGCAAGGAAACAGCUUCUCAGACCCUCAGGCCCCCAGAAAAGAAAGCUGUGCCAGCACCUGGCUUGUGGCACAGGGAGGCCCGGGCGGGGCCGUAAGGUGACAAUGUGUGUGCUCACGCCCCCCCAAGAACCUGCCGCUGUCUGUCCCUGAGUGAGGGACAGGG